UUUUUCAAAUCGUUAGUAACGAAAUAAAAAUUUAUUCUCAGUUUGAGAGAAAAAAUGUACACUUUCUAUCUUCUUUCUUUUUUAUUUAAUAUUUUAUACGCAAAGAUAUUUGCGAUUUUAUCACGAUUAUUCAAUCAUGGAUGUGGAAAUAGGUCAGACGUAUAAUUGAUAAACUGAUCUCUGUUGCAAUUUAAUUACAAUAUUCAUAUCUCGAGCGUUUCAAUUCGAUCACAAUGGAUACAAUCAUCGUGUUUUUCUUUGUUUCGGUAUUUCCUUUGAUAAAUCGAAAUUUCCGUCCUUCUUCGCGCGAAUUAAUAUCGUCGCGUGACACAAUAAGAUAAACCGUUUCAAAAUACACGUGACGAAGCAUUCGAGUUUAAAUGUUUUGAAGCGGUUAGUUUACACUCCCUGUCCCGAAGCUGUUCCGAAAGCUCAAACUCUCUACAGUGGAGAUUCUUCGCAAAUACAGGCUGAAGAGUCUUGUGCAAAUCGGACGACAGGAUUACGAAUUGAAAUACGCGGGUCACUGAUCUCUAUGACGAGACCGUAUCACAAUAUUCUCUUGGGGUAAAUAGAGAAGUUGCACGUUAUAGCGAAUAUGAGAAUCUUUUACGAUUGAUCGUAUACCGUGAAUAAACGAGAUUUACACAAGCUUUAAACGAAUUACAGUUGGUCUUCUGUUAAUUGAAAUGAAUUGUAAUUGAUCGUUAUUCUAUAAUUACCCCUCUAAUUUGUAUAAUUACCCAUGAUACGAUAGAAAAUAUUUUUUGUCGAUUGUUACUGCGAAAGCGAGCGAGGCACUGCUAUGCACGAUGUAUUGCGCUUGCGCAGAGCCGAUCUUCGUUAAUACUCGGCUCUUUUCGGUAAUUUUCGUCGCGUGUCAUACCAUCGUCGUAUACCUGUCAAGUGCAAAUAAAGAAAAGUACAAGAAACAACUUCUUGUCUCCGAGAACCUGUAUUUUCAAGUUAUUGAAAUCGGUAAAGUCCAUUCUAUCGUCAAUUUCGUGACGUGACCUGCGAGUGGAACGUCAGCCAGAGGCGUGGAUAAAUUAUUCCGGUACGUGAAAAGAGAGUGGGGGGAUCAAUAAUGAAACAUACCAUCUCGAAGCAAAAGGUUGAAGGCGUCGCAAAGCGAUUUCCAUUGCGGUUGAAAAUCGUGACUGGUUUUCGAAAGGACAAUAACGCCGGACUCGAUCCACGAGGACAUUCACCCGACGUAUAGAACUCAUCUCAUCAAAAUAUUCCAAAUCUUGGUGAAUAUUCGAAAACUCGAAACGUUCUA